rnacentral:rRNA from 1 species
GAUGAACGCUGGCGGCGUGCCUAAUACAUGCAAGUCGAGCGAACAGACGAGGAGCUUGCUCCUCUGACGUUAGCGGCGGACGGGUGAGUAACACGUGGAUAACCUACCUAUAAGACUGGGAUAACUUCGGGAAACCGGAGCUAAUACCGGAUAAUAUAUUGAACCGCAGGGUUCAAUAGUGAAAGACGGUUUUGCUGUCACUUAUAGAUGGAUCCGCGCCGCAUUAGCUAGUUGGUAAGGUAACGGCUUACCAAGGCGACGAUGCGUAGCCGACCUGAGAGGGUGAUCGGCCACACUGGAACUGAGACACGGUCCAGACUCCUACGGGAGGCAGCAGUAGGGAAUCUUCCGCAAUGGGCGAAAGCCUGACGGAGCCACGCCGCGUGAGUGAUGAAGGUCUUCGGAUCGUAAAGCUCUGUUAUUAGGGAAGAACAAAUGUGUAAGUAACUAUGCACGUCUUGACGGUACCUAAUCAGAAAGCCACGGCUAACUACGUG